rnacentral:lncRNA from 1 species
UCACAUUAAACUCAUAAAGACGGUAUCCAUACAAUGGACGAGGCCUAAACUGUGUAUAAUCCCUGGUUAAUUGUAAAGGUCCUUGCCAAAUAUUUUCAUGGGACAAACCCAAGUAACUAACUCGUAUACAUUAAGAUAAGUUCUACAAUCUACUCAAAAUCUCACAGGCACUCUUAUCUUCUUGAAAGAUGAAUGAGUUUUCA